ACGAACGCUGGCGGCGUGCUUAACACAUGCAAGUCGAGCGACGCUCUUCCUUCGGGGAGAUGACGGAGCGGCGAACGGGUGAGUAACACGUGGGCAACCUGCCCCUAGCUCUGGGACAACACCGGGAAACCGGUGCUAAUACCGGAUACGACAUCGAGCGGCAUCUCUCGAUAUGGAAAGUUUUUUCGGCUAGGGAUGGGCCCGCGGCCUAUCAGCUUGUUGGUGGGGUAAUGGCCCACCAAGGCGACGACGGGUAGCCGGCCUGAGAGGGCGACCGGCCACACUGGGACUGAGACACGGCCCAGACUCCUACGGGAGGCAGCAGUGGGGAAUAUUGCGCAAUGGGCGAAAGCCUGACGCAGCGACGCCGCGUGAGGGAUGACGGCCUUCGGGUUGUAAACCUCUUUCAGCAGGGACGAAUUCAGACGGUACCUGCAGAAGAAGCACCGGCCAACUACGU
rnacentral:rRNA from 1 species